rnacentral:rRNA from 1 species
CGGACGGGUGAGUAAUGCCUAGGAAUCUGCCUGGUAGUGGGGGACAACGUUUCGAAAGGAACGCUAAUACCGCAUACGUCCUACGGGAGAAAGCAGGGACCUUCGGGCCUUGCGCUAUCAGAUGAGCCUAGGUCGGAUUAGCUAGUUGGUGAGGUAAUGGCUCACCAAGGCGACGAUCCGUAACUGGCCUGAGAGGAUGAUCAGUCACACUGGAACUGAGACACGGUCCAGACUCCUACGGGAGGCAGCAGCU